GACCUUGGAAUAUACAUGGUGCCCAGUCCUAAGAUAGAGCCGGCAAGGAAGCUCUUGGGUAGAAUCGGGAGCGUGGGAAGGAUGGAACGCCGCGAACAGACCAUCAGGCU
rnacentral:SRP_RNA from 12 species